UCCUACGGGACGCAGCAAUUAGGAAUCUUGCACAAUGGGGGAAACCCUGAUGCAGCGACGCCGCGUGAGUGAUGAAGUCUCUCGGGAUGUAAAGCUCUGUCCUACAGGGAAGAAACAAAUGACGGUACCUGUAGAGAAAGCCCCGGCUAACUACGUGCCAGCAGCCGCGGUAAUACGUAGGGGGCGAGCGUUGUCCGAAUUUAUUGGGCGUAAAGCGCGUGUAGGCGGCUCUUUAAGUCAGAUGUGAAAUCCUGCGGCUCAACCGCAGAACUGCAUUUGAUACUGGAGGGCUUGAGUUUGGGAGAGGAAAGUGGAAUUCCAGGUGUAGCGGUGAAAUGCGUAGAUAUCUGGAGGAACACCCGUGGCGAAGGCGGCUUUCUGGCCUUAUACUGACGCUGAGACGCGAAAGCUAGGGGAGCGAACGGGAUUAGAUACCCUGGU
rnacentral:rRNA from 1 species